UUUCCUGGGUUGAGAGACAAGAUAAAAAGACAGACGGUGGUGAUACAAGUGAACUGACACAAACUUUAAUCCAUGACUUUAUUUUGCAGCCAAACAUCUAAAAGCACACUUUACUUAUUGAUUCCUUUCAGCUGACCUUAAAGAGGACAUUAAAAAAUUACAUUAAUUCCUCUUCCUCAGCUACCAUCCCUGUAGUUAAUAUUUGAAAAAUGCUGUAAACAUGGCCUUUUAGCAGCUGGAUUUGCAGUAGUGAAUAAUGACCAAACAAGGAUUCAAAGAACACAACGUGCAGUUUAUUUACAAAAAUCUCAGUGACAUAAGUAGAACAAUGGAAGUAGUUAGCCUUACCAGCAACACAGUCAGAUGGAAACUGGGCUUUUUAUACUGUGUACCUGGUGGACUACAUUGAACCUUACCAUUCACAGGUAUGCUCACUUUCUGUUCCCCGGUGAAAUUAUUCCAUCAGGAGGUUAUUCCUGAUUUUAACAAAAUAUUUACAAUUGUGUUUUUCCUGCUAUUCACUUCCCACCAAACAUAAACCUCAAAAACAUAAUUACAACCAAUUUAAACCUAUCCAGUCACUUGGUCCCUCCCGGAACGUUCUUUACCCUGCUCUUACACCGGGGACUUCUUUUGGCAGAACACAAGACCAGACCGGCGAGCCCAGCACCGGUCAACUGAUAACCGCACUGUGACAUGUUCAAUAAAUAUGCCAUGUAACCAAUUAUUAUUUGCUACCAAAUAUGCAAAUGUCCUGUACAAACGCUCUGUGUCUACUAAGUGCAAAAUGUCGCUA